UACGAAGGGGGCUAGCGUUGUUCGGAAUUACUGGGCGUAAAGCGCACGUAGGCGGAUAUUUAAGUCAGGGGUGAAAUCCCGGGGCUCAACCCCGGAACUGCCUUUGAUACUGGGUAUCUCGAGUCCGAGAGAGGUGAGUGGAAUUCCGAGUGUAGAGGUGAAAUUCGUAGAUAUUCGGAGGAACACCAGUGGCGAAGGCGGCUCACUGGCUCGGUACUGACGCUGAGGUGCGAAAGUGUGGGGAGCGAACAGG
rnacentral:rRNA from 1 species